rnacentral:misc_RNA from 1 species
CUUAUAAAAGUGAAACUAGAUCUGGUCUGUAAGGAAAAAAGCUAAUAUCAAAGCCUCUUUGAAGUUACAGUCUUUAAAGAUUGCAAUGGAUCUAAUUUCCAUAUUCUGUGGAUUUUGUUUAUUUGUUGGGAUAGUCCUCACAGCGGUAAAACUAUACGAAGUGUCCAUAAAGAAGCCUUUCGUAUCUGAAAUUAAGUUACAUGGUAAAACGGCUAUUGUUACCGGUGCCAAUACGGGGCUUGGGUAUUGGACAGCACUAGAUCUAGCCAAACGAGGAGCUCGCGUCAUUUUAGCUUGUAGAAACUUACAAAAGGCAGAGGAGGCAAAGAAAAAAAUCCUGAAGGAACUAUCUGAUCGAGGCGAUGUGGUCGUCAGUCACCUAGAUCUGAGUUCUAUGCAAUCUGUACGGCAGUUUGCACGCGAAACUUAUGAACAAGAAUCCAGAUUAGAUAUUCUCAUUAAUAAUGCAGCAGUUUCAAGCAUGCCAAAAACCAUUACAGAGGAGGGACUGGAAUUUACGUAUGCUACAAACCAUGUUGCACCAUUUCUUCUUACCGAUCUUCUUCUUGGUAAGAUUCAAAUGAUGGGGAGAAAAAUGAUUUAAAAAUUUUUAAUUAUUGAAAACAAAUUAUAACUUUUUUGAAGAGGAUAUUUAGCGAUCAUUGCAAGAUACCAUAUCCACUAAGUUAAACAAUGAUUGUAUUGCAGUUCAGUCAAUUAAUUAAGGAGGCUGGAUGGUUAACAAAUUACCCCUUAGAUCUAUCUCAAGAUUUCAGAUGUGAUUUGUUUAUCAUAAAAGAAAAAUUCAGUGUAUUUUAGCUUUUAAAUUAGAGUUUUUUCCUACUAUCCUGAAACAUUGUACUUUCUCAUAUGAACGGUUAGUGAACGGUGAGUGCGCGCUGAACGGAAUUUGGUGAGCGCUUAUGAACGGUGAACGGUAAGCGAAUGCAGAGUCCAAAGUGAAUGGUGAACGCUAUGUUAACACAAGAUAAAAGAUUUAUUGGAGUGCCUCGGGAGUUAUCCUUACAUUGUGUUUUGUCUGUAAUCGGGAAACAAUUACAAAAAAACUACAUGUAUGUAUUGUUAUCAGCCUAAAUAUGAUAUUAUCUGACUGAACGAAAAGUGAACGCUGAACAGACAGUGCAUGAGCGCAAGGUGAAAAUUGCAGCUUAUAUAGCUUUAUUAUAGAGCUUUUUUUUUCAAGGAGAUCAAUUUGUGUGAAAAUGAUCCCAACCAUCCAGCCCUCUAGCCUGUUAUAAUGGGCACUUCUAGUGCAUCAGCCGAUAGAUCUGUCGACAAAAGUUCUAAAAAUGUUUCAUGAGCACAACAUCAAAUAUUACAAAGAAUUCAUUUCUUUUCUUCCAACAACUACUCCUAAAGAAUUGUGGAAUAUUGUUGUUAGAUAACAUAUAUUUCCUGGGAAUUUUUUUUUUUCAAAUUUGAAGAUUUGCUAAAGAAGUCUGCUCCAAGCAGAAUUGUAAAUCUGACCUCCAUCAUGAAUACUUUCGGGAAAGUGGACGUAGGUGACCUGCAAGGCAAGAAGGACUAUGAUGGCUUUUCAUCCUACUGCAACACAAAGCUGAUGAAUAUUCUGUUUACCAAAGAACUUGCUAGGAGGCUGGAAGGAACAGGUGUGUCUACCUGUUGUGUGCACCCUGGGGCUGCUGGGACAGAGAUUUUCCGAGGUCUCUGGGGGAACCAGCUGUUCACACCUUUCCUCUCAUUGUUCUUUAAGACGCCCAGGGAUGGUGCCCAGACAACGCUGUAUGCAGCAGUCUCAGAGGAAAUGCGGAAUGCUCGGGGUGAAUACUUGUCUGAUAGUCAGGUAUACGACCACACCUGGUGGAUCAGUGGGUCAGCAUACGACCAGGGACUGUGUAAGAAACUGUGGGAGGCCACAGAAGCCAUUAUUGCUACAACUGAUUUGUCCUCUUCAAAUUAACUGUCAUUUGAUUUACAUGAUUGUGUACAAAUGUAAAUGUACACUUACAUUUUAACAAAAAUGAUAUUUAACUUCAGAGAGUUGUGAUUCAUUUUUGUGUGUUGUGUUUGUGCCAUAUGGUAACCUCUUUCAAAAGAAAUAACAAUGUAACAUUGUAUUCUACAGAGCAGUAUUUUAGUAAACAAUACUAUACAAUUUUUGUAUACAUUCCUGUAGUUGUGUAACAUUUUUUAUGAGUUGGUGUAUAUGCCUUACGAUAACCUAGUUUUUCAAAGAAAUCGAAUAACAGAACAGUAUUUUUAGUUUUAUACAGGUGCCUUUUUAUACCUGAAAAGGUGUCAAGUCAAGCCUCAUGUGUACUGUAUGAAUGUAUAUAUGUACAAGUAUGUACAACAUGUAUAUAUGAAUAUGCUGAGUUUAAGCUUUUUGCAAGAUGAUUUACCAAAUCUCAGGACUAAUGUAUAUGGGUACAUACUGAUCAGUGUCAACUUGGUGCAUUUUGGAAAAAUUAUUUGUUCAAACAAUAUUUUUAAAAAAUAUACAAAAAAAUACAAGAUAUAGUUUUGUUAAUUCACUUUUUAUUGAUAUAAUAAAUACUGUACAU